CGAGGUAGAGCUUGUAUGAAGCGUUUUGUUUACACCAAAGAGAAAUUUUGAAAAGUUGUCUUGA
rnacentral:tRNA from 2 species